rnacentral:lncRNA from 1 species
UUUCUUUAAGAAACACAAUUCUAAGAAUUGGAUGUAAGGGGAAUGUUCAGUUCUCUGAAAUGCAAUGUCCAGGAAAAGAAAAAAAAAAAAAACACUAGGGGGAUGUUGUGUUAUUUUGAAAGCCAAGCAAACAUUGUUCCAAAGCAGAAGGAGAGGCCAGGAGUCAAGAAUGCCACCAAGAAGCCAAGGAAGACACAAGACACUAACUGAAAAUCAUGCAUUCUGUUACCAGCAAAGGGUAGUGGCAGUGACUUUGGAGAGCUCAAGGGGGCAGUGAGAGGAACAUAGGGAGCAGCCUGUGAGCUCCACAAAACUGAGAUUUUGGCUUGUUCUCUGCUGUAUCCUCAGAGCUGGUGGGAGAAAUUGAUGAAUGUUUCUUGCAGGAAUCUCAAGUCAAUGGCAUCUCUUCUACAGGAGAUAAUGUGGCCCAUUCCCACCAUCUUGGUGUCUGAGAUGAGCACCGCCAUCUGUAUCCCCAAAGCCCCCAUCUCUCCACCACAAGCAAUUGCUGUUUAAAUCUCUGCCAUCGAAAAAGUAGCAGGACUCACAGUGUCGUGGAUGAUAUAAAUAGAAUUCCUAUAGGAAAAGAUAUUUGGCAAAAAAAUUUGCUAUUUGAGAUACCUCUAUCCUUAAAUCCAUUGUUGGAACAAAGGAUAGGGGAGCCUCACUUCCAAAGCUUGUGUAGUGAUGGGUGACAAUAAGUCUCCUCUGAUUUGUGGUGUGUUAGCUUGAGGUUGGUUGGUUUUAUAAAUCGAAUGAAAGCAAGGUACCCAAAGUGCACCAAUUACUCUAAGAAGGUUUCAUUUCUUGGAAGCUGACUGAUGUAGAAACAAGUGGGUCCUGAAGGAUUGGGAUUCACUUGGCAGAAGUUGUCCUCCCACUCAAGCCCUUGACCCCAGGGAAACACAUCCAGAAUUCCUGAGAUUGCAGGGACCCAGCUACUGGAUGAAAUUGUGUCCAGAAACUGGGAAGUGGGACCAGCCAUUGUGCAGACGAGCCUUAAAUGAGUGGUCUGGGCUGAAGGCGGGAGAUCCAGGAAGGAGAAGAGGAUUCCUUGCUGUCUCUAUCAAGACAGGCUCUAAGGUCAGAAGAACAAAGAAGUUGGAUGUCUGUAAAGUGAGGGCGUCUUGCCCCUGACACAGGUGAUUCCAAGGCCAGGCAGCCAGGGAGGUCAGACAGAGACAGUGCGGGGAGCACCCAGCAUCCUGCCUGGGGAGAACGGGGCCGGCACUUCCAUGAUGUGUCACACACUGGCAGACCUGCCCCCCAGAUCACAAACCUAAUGCCCUCACAGGUAUGCCCACCUGGAGUUCCACUGAACCUGGUAACACCCCACCCACGUGCAGGUCGCUGCCCCUCUGCCUGCAGUCCUGUCUUCAGCCCAGGCGCACCCAGCAACGCAGGAGGAGUGUUGACUUCAGGCUGCCCUGCUUCACUAUGUGCCCAAGACUCUGAGGCAAGAAAUUCCAGAGCCUGUCUGCUUACUUGAUAAGGGAGGAGGCGGCAACCCAGGGAAGACAAGCAC